UACGUAGGGGGGCUAGCGUUGUCCGGAAUCAUUGGGCGUAAAGAGCGUGUAGGCGGCCCGGUAAGUCCGCUGUGAAAGUCGGGGGCUCAACCCUCGAAUGCCGGUGGAUACUGUCGGGCUAGAGUGCGGAAGAGGCGAGUGGAAUUCCUGGUGUAGCGGUGAAAUGCGCAGAUAUCGAGAGGAACACCUGCGGCGAAGGCGGGUUGCUGGGCUGACACUGACGCUGAGGCGCGAAAGCUAGGGGGAGCGAACGGG
rnacentral:rRNA from 1 species